rnacentral:rRNA from 1 species
UGCGUAGGGGGCAAGCGUUGUCCGGAUUUAUUGGGCGUAAAGAGCGUGUAGGCGGCCUGAAAGGUCAGCUGUGAAAACUCGAGGCUCAACCUCGAGACGUCGGUUGAAACCAUCUGGCUAGAGUCCGGAAGAGGAGAGUGGAAUUCCCGGUGUAGCGGUGAAAUGCGCAGAUAUCGGGAAGAACACCCGUGGCGAAGGCGGCUCUCUGGGACGGUACUGACGCUGAGACGCGAAAGCGUGGGGAGCGAACAGG